rnacentral:rRNA from 1 species
AGAACGAACGUUGAUGGCGUGCCUCAUACAUGCAAGUCGAGCGCCCCGCAAGGGGAGCGGCGGACGGGUGAGUAACACGUAAAGAAUCUGCCCUGAAGCGGGGAAUAACUAUCCCAACGGAUAGCUAAUACCGCAUAAUGAUGGAGACGGCAUCGUCUCUUCUCAAAAGGCUUCGGCCACUUCAGGAUGACUUUGCGUCCCAUUAGCUUGUUGGCGGGUAACGGCCCACCAAGGCUACGAUGGGUAUCCGGCCUGAGAGGGUGUACGGACACGAUUGGGACUGAGAUACGGCCCAGACUCCUACGGAGGCAGCAGUAGGGAAUUUGCGCAAUGGGGGAAACCCUGACGCAGACAACGCCUAUGUGUGGGAUGAAGCAUUUCGGUAGUAGUAAACCACUGUACCAGGCGGGAAUAAACGGCAGUCGUU